rnacentral:tRNA from 1 species
GAAAUAUAAAUUAUUUAAAAUUAAGCUGCUAACUUGAUUUUUAGUGGUUAAUUCCCAUUAAUAUUUCUA